UGUUGGGUUAAGUCCCGCAACGAGCGCAACCCUUGAUCUUAGUUGCCAGCAUUUAGUUGGGCACUCUAAGGUGACUGCCGGUGACAAACCGGAGGAAGGUGGGGAUGACGUCAAAUCAUCAUGCCCCUUAUGACCUGGGCUACACACGUGCUACAAUGGAUGGUACAAAGGGCUGCAAGACCGCGAGGUUUAGCCAAUCCCAUAAAACCAUUCUCAGUUCGGAUUGCAGGCUGCAACUCGCCUGCAUGAAGCCGGAAUCGCUAGUAAUCGCGGAUCAGCAUGCCGCGGUGAAUACGUUCCCGGGCCUUGUACACACCGCCCGUCACACCACGAGAGUUUGUAACACCCGAAGUCGGUGGGGUAACCGUAAGGAGCCAGCCGCCUAAGGUGGGACAGAUGAUUGGGGUGAAGUCGUAACAAGGUAAAUCCA
rnacentral:rRNA from 1 species